UACGUAGGGUGCAGGCGUUAAUCGGAAUUACUGGGCGUAAAGCGUGCGCAGGCGGUUUGCUAAGACAGGUGUGAAAUCCCCGGGCUUAACCUGGGAACUGCGCUUGUAACUGGCAAGCUAGAGUGUGGCAGAGGGGGGUGGAAUUCCACGUGUAGCAGUGAAAUGCGUAGAGAUGUGGAGGAACACCGAUGGGCGAAGGCAGCCCCCUGGGCUAACACCUGGACGCUCAUGCACGAAAGACGUGGGGAGCAAACAGGUUACGAA
rnacentral:rRNA from 1 species